rnacentral:rRNA from 1 species
AUGAAGUGGCACCAAGCUUCUAGCAUUCUCUGUGACAAGAGAGUGCCACAAAAGCUAAAAGGCAAGUUCUACAGGACGGCGGUUCGACCCGCAAUGUUGUAUGGCGCGGAGUGUUGGCCGACUAAAAGGCGACAUGUUCAACAGUUAGGUGUGGCGGAGAUGCGUAUGUUGAGAUGGAUGUGUGGCCACACGAGGAAGGAUCGAGUCCGGAAUGAUGAUAUACGAGAUAGAGUUGGGGUAGCACCAAUUGAGGAGAAGCUUGUCCAACAUCGUUUGAGAUGGUUUGGGCAUAUUCAGCGCAGGCCUCCAGAAGCUCCAGUGCAUCCAGCAUCACAUCAGCAAAACUGA